rnacentral:rRNA from 1 species
AUUGAACGCUGGCGGCAGUCAUAACACAUGCAAGUCGAGCGAGCGGCGGACGGUUGCGUCAUGUCUGGGAAACUGCCUGAUGGAGGGGGAUAACUACUGGCAACGGUAGCUAAUACCGCAUACCAUCAGAUGUGCCCAUAUGGGAUUAGCUAGCAGGUGGGGUAAUGGCUUACCUAGGCGACGAUCCCUAGCUGGUCCGAGAGGAUGACCAGCAAAACUGGAACUGAGACACGGCCCAGACGCCUACGGGAUGCAGCAGUGGGGAAUAUUGCACCAUGGGCGCAAGCCUGAUGCAGCCAUGCCGCGUGUGUGAAGAAGGCCUUCGGGUUGUAAAGCACUUUCAGCGAGGAGGCGUUACUCGAAGAAGAAGCACCGGCUAACUCCGUGCCAGCAGCCGCGGUAAUAC